rnacentral:rRNA from 1 species
GUCCCGGUUUAAGCGUGUAGGCUGACUUUCCAGGCAAAUCCGGAAAGUUAAGGCUGAGGCGUGAUGACGAGGCACUACGGUGCUGAAGUGACAAAUGCCCUGCUUCCAGGAAAAGCCUCUAAGCAUCAGGUAACAUCAAAUCGUACCCCAAACCGACACAGGUGGUCAGGUAGAGAAUACCAAGGCGCUUGAGAGAACUCGGGUGAAGGAACUAGGCAAAAUGGUGCCGUAACUUCGGGAGAAGGCACGCUGACAUGUAGGUGAAGCCCCUGCGGGUGGAGCUGAAGUCAGUCGAAGAUACCAGCUGGCUGCAACUGUUUAUUAAAAACACAGCACUGUGCAAACACGAAAGUGGACGUAUACGGUGUGACGCCUGCCCGGUGCCGGAAGGUUAAUUGAUGGGGUUAUCGCAAGAGAAGCUCCUGAUCGAAGCCCCGGUAAACGGCGGCCGUAACUAUAACGGUCCUAAGGUAGCGAAAUUCCUUGUCGGGUAAGUUCCGACCUGCACGAAUGGCGUAAUGAUGGCCAGGCUGUCUCCACCCGAGACUCAGUGAAAUUGAACUCGCUGUGAAGAUGCAGUGUACCCGCGGCAAGACGGAAAGACCCCGUGAACCUUUACUACAGCUUGACACUGAACAUUGAGCCUUGAUGUGUAGGAUAGGUGGGAGGCUUUGAAGCGUGGACGCCAGUCUGCGUGGAGCCGACCUUGAAAUACCACCCUUUAAUGUUUGAUGUUCUAACCUGGCGCCGUGAUCCGGCGUGGGGACAGUGUCUGGUGGGUAGUUUGACUGGGGCGGUCUCCUCCCAAAGUGUAACGGAGGAGCACGAAGGUCAGCUAAUCCUGGUCGGACAUCAGGAGGUUAGUGCAAUGGCAUAAGCUGGCUUGACUGCGAGAGUGACGGCUCGAGCAGGUGCGAAAGCAGGUCAUAGUGAUCCGGUGGUUCUGUAUGGAAGGGCCAUCGCUCAACGGAUAAAAGGUACUCCGGGGAUAACAGGCUGAUACCGCCCAAGAGUUCAUAUCGACGGCGGUGUUUGGCACCUCGAUGUCGGCUCAUCACAUCCUGGGGCUGAAGUAGGUCCCAAGGGUAUGGCUGUUCGCCAUUUAAAGUGGUACGCGAGCUGGGUUUAGAACGUCGUGAGACAGUUCGGUCCCUAUCUGCCGUGGGCGCUGGAGAAUUGAGGGGGGCUGCUCCCAGUACGAGAGGACCGGAGUGGACGCAUCACUGGUGUUCGGGUUGUCAUGCCAAUGGCACUGCCCGGUAGCUAAAUGCGGAAGAGAUAAGUGCUGAAAGCAUCUAAGCACGAAACUUGCCCCGAGAUGAGUUCUCCCUGAGACUAUAAGUCUCCUGAAGGAACGUUGAAGACGACGACGUUGAUAGGCCGGGUGUGUAAGCGCAGCGAUGCGUUGAGCUAACCGGUACUAAUGAACCGUGAGGCUUAACCUUACAACGCCAAAGAAGU